rnacentral:rRNA from 1 species
GACAGAGGGUGCGAACGUUGUUCGGAAUUACUGGGCGUAAAGCGCGUGUAGGCGGCAGCGCAAGUCGGGCGUGAAAUCCCACGGCUCAACCGUGGAAGUGCACUCGAAACUGCGCAGCUAGAGUCCUGGAGAGGAAGGUGGAAUGCUUGGUGUAGAGGUGAAAUUCGUAGAUAUCAAGCGGAACACCGGUGGCGAAGGCGGCUUUCUGGACAGUAACUGACGCUGAGGCGCGAAAGCUAGGGGAGCAAACAGG